rnacentral:rRNA from 1 species
AUACGUAGGGUGCGAGCGUUGUCCGGAAUUACUGGGCGUAAAGAGCUCGUAGGUGGUUUGUCGCGUCGUCUGUGAAAUUCCGGGGCUUAACUCCGGGCGUGCAGGCGAUACGGGCAUAACUUGAGUACUCUAGGGGAGACUGGAAUUCCUGGUGUAGCGGUGAAAUGCGCAGAUAUCAGGAGGAACACCGGUGGCGAAGGCGGGUCUCUGGGCAGUAACUGACGCGGAGGAGCGAAAGCAUGGGUAGCGAACAGGAUUAGAUACCCGGGUAGUCCAUGCCGUAAACGGUGGGCGCUAGGUGUAGGGGUCUUCCACGACUUCUGUGCCGUAGCUAACGCAUUAAGCGCCCCGCCUGGGGAGUACGGCCGCAAGGCUAAAACUCAAAUGAAUUGGCGGGG